rnacentral:lncRNA from 1 species
CAGAAACAAGAAGUUUGCCUCUGAUGGACUGCAAAAAUAUUCUUCUUUGCCUUAUGGUGCUUCUGCUGCUAGGAAAUUCCACUCAUGCCGGUACAAUAUCAUUCUCCCUGACCUUAUAUAUGUCUCCUUUCUCAAGCCAACCGGAGUAGAGUAAUAUUGUCACCUGAAUUGCUGAAUUUCUUUGGAACCUUCUCAAUCUGUACUUCUUUUAACAGUGUGUAUUCUUGUCUGCAGAGUGUGAAGUGCACGUUGCUUUUACAGGCCCUGCAUGCAUCGCCUUAACUUGCCAAUAUGCAUGCCAAAGUUCCUGGGGAGAUCACACCAAGCAAGCUUAUUGUGUGUCUGUUAAUGUUGCCACUUGGAACUGUAGUUGCAACGUAUGUAAGUGGAGUUGAACUAGUCCAUAAUGUUAAACAAUGGACAAUGAUGUACCUGUGAGAAUGUCUUUUCAGCACCAAUUUUGGGUGUACCUGUGAUUUGAUUUGAUUUUGUCAUAUGUAAUCUCAGGUUUAGUGAUUGUGUGUCUGUAUGGCUCUCUUUCAUAAGUCCAGACAUAACCAUAUGUAACAUGAAUGAACCAAGUGUUAGAAAUAAUGGGCUUGGCCCACAUACAUUUUCUGAAAUUCCUGAAGUAU